GACGAACGCUGGCGGCGUGCUUAACACAUGCAAGUCGAGCGGUAAGGCCCUUUCGGGGGUACACGAGCGGCGAACGGGUGAGUAACACGUGGGUGACCUGCCCUCAGCUCUGGGAUAAGCCUGGGAAACCGGGUCUAAUACCGGAUAUGACUCCAUGACGCAUGUUGUGGGGUGGAAAGCCUUGUGCGGCUGAGGAUGGGCCCGCGGCCUAUCAGCUUGUUGGUGGGGUGANGGCCUACCAAGGCGACGACGGGUAGCCGGCCUGAGAGGACGACCGGCCACACUGGGACUGAGACACGGCCCAGACUCCUACGGGAGGCAGCAGUGGGGAAUCUUGCGCAAUGGGCGAAAGCCUGACGCAGCGACGCCGCGUGAGGGAUGACGGCCU
rnacentral:rRNA from 1 species